rnacentral:rRNA from 1 species
AUUGAACGCUGGCGGCAUGCUUUACACAUGCAAGUCGAACGGUAACAGGUUAAGCUGACGAGUGGCGAACGGGUGAGUAAUGCAUCGGAACGUGCCCGAUCGUGGGGGAUAACACUUCGAAAGAAGUGCUAAUACCGCAUACGAUCUGAGGAUGAAAGCGGGGGACCGUAAGGCCUCGCGCGAUCGGAGCGGCCGAUGUCAGAUUAGGUAGUUGGUGGGGUAAAGGCUCACCAAGCCGACGAUCUGUAGCUGGUCUGAGAGGACGACCAGCCACACUGGGACUGGGAGACGGCGCAGACUCCUACGGGGGGCAGCAGUGGGGAAUUUUGGACAAUGGGCGCAAGCCUGAUCCAGCAAUGCCGCGUGCAGGAAGAAGGCCUUCGGGUUGUAAACUGCUUUUGUACGGAGCGAAAAGGCUCCCUCUAAUACAGGGGGCUCAUGACGGUACCGUAAGAAUAAGCACCGGCUAACUACGUGCCAGCCGCCGCGGUAA